rnacentral:rRNA from 1 species
UGGGGAAUAUUGCACAAUGGGGGAAACCCUGAUGCAGCGACGCCGCGUGAGCGAAGAAGGUUUUCGAAUCGUAAAGCUCUGUCCUAUGAUAAGAUAAUGACGGUAUCAUAGGAGGAAGCCCCGGCUAAAUACGUGCCAGCAGCCGCGGUAAUACGUAUGGGGCGAGCGUUGUCCGGAAUUAUUGGGCGUAAAGGGUACGUAGGCGGUCUAUUAAGUCAGGUGUGAAAGCGUGAGGCUUAACCUCAUUAAGCACUUGAAACUGAUAGACUUGAGUGAAGGAGAGGAAAGUGGAAUUCCUAGUGUAGCGGUGAAAUGCGUAGAUAUUAGGAGGAAUACCGGUGGCGAAGGCGACUUUCUGGACUUAUACUGACGCUCAGGUACGAAAGCGUGGGUAGCAAACAGG